GAACCGUCCGAACGUUAUUCGGUAUCACUGGGCUUAAAGCGUGCGUAGGCGGCUUGGUAGGUGAGAUGUGAAAGCCCACGGCUCAACCGUGGAAUUGCGUUUCAAACCCCCAGGCUCGAGGAAGAUAGGGGUGAUGGGAACUUAUGGUGGAGCGGUGAAAUGCGUUGAUAUCAUAGGGAACACCGGUGGCGAAAGCGCAUCACUGGAUCUUUUACUGACGCUGAGGCACGAAAGCUAGGGUAGCGAACGGGGGAUUAGAUACCCCGGUAGUCCUAGCCGUAAACGAUGAACACUGGGUUGGGGGGUACUUCCCACAUCCUCCCCGGCCGUAGCGAAAGUGUUAAGUGUUCCGCCUGGGGAGUAUGGUCGCAAGGCUG
rnacentral:rRNA from 1 species